rnacentral:rRNA from 1 species
UACAGAGGUCCCAAGCGUUGUUCGGAUUUACUGGGCGUAAAGGGUGCGUAGGUGGUCGGGUAAGUCUGAUGUGAAAUCUCGGAGCUUAACUCCGAAACUGCAUUGGAUACUAUUCGGCUUGAGAGUUGGAGGGGGGACUGGAAUUCUCGGUGUAGCAGUGAAAUGCGUAGAUAUCGAGAGGAACACCAGUGGCGAAGGCGAGUCCCUGGACAACUUCUGACACUAAGGCACGAAAGCUAGGGGAGCAAACAGG